rnacentral:rRNA from 1 species
UACGUAGGGGGCGAGCGUUGUCCGGAUUUAUUGGGCGUAAAGAGCGUGUAGGCGGCCAGGUAGGUCUGCUGUGAAAACUCGAGGCUCAACCUCGAGACGUCGGCGGAAACCAUCUGGCUAGAGUCCGGAAGAGGAGAGUGGAAUUCCUGGUGUAGCGGUGAAAUGCGCAGAUAUCAGGAAGAACACCCGUGGCGAAGGCGGCUCUCUGGGACGGUGCUGACACUGAGACACGAAAGCCAGGGGAGCAAACGGG